AGGAUCAGUGGUGACGACUGGUGGCGAACGAGUCACAGAGAUGACUACAUGGCUGCAACUCUGAGGUCUGU
ensembl:snoRNA small nucleolar RNA SNORD113/SNORD114 family